rnacentral:lncRNA from 1 species
GCUCACUCACACACAAUGCCUUUGGUGGGUGUUCAGGGUGCUCUCCCUGGAUAGUUGUGAGCUGCACAGCCUGCAGAAGCCUUUGCUUGAAGCAUCUCAGAGCAGUCACCUGUCCCCGGUAGCAGGGAAAUUUCAGGAGGUGGGAUGAGCACUAAGUUGACUCCAGCACUCAGCUCUGCUGUUCCUUUUCCGACUGGCCUUGGCUUUAAAGGAAUUUGCUCUGGGGAAGGAGACAGCUGCUGCUCUGAUGAAGGAUUUUUCUGA